GACGAACGCUGGCGGCGUGCUUAACACAUGCAAGUCGAACGGAAAGGCCCUGCUUUUGUGGGGUGCUCGAGUGGCGAACGGGUGAGUAACACGUGAGUAACCUGCCCUUGACUUUGGGAUAACUUCAGGAAACUGGGGCUAAUACCGGAUAGGAGCUCCUGCUGCAUGGUGGGGGUUGGAAAUUUUCGGCGGUUGGGGAUGGACUCGCGGCUUAUCAGCUUGUUGGUUGGGUAGUGGCUUACCAAGGCUUUGACGGGUAGCCGGCCUGAGAGGGUGACCGGCCACAUUGGGACUGAGAUACGGACCAGACUCCUACGGGAGGCAGCAGUGGGGAAUCUUGCACAAUGGGAGGAAGCCUGAUGAAGAAACGCCGCGUGCGGGAUGACGGCCUUCGGGUUGUAAACCGCUUUCGCCUGUGACGAAGCGUGAGUGACGGUAAUGGGUAAAGAAGCACCGGCUAACUACGUG
rnacentral:rRNA from 1 species